rnacentral:rRNA from 1 species
AACGAACGCUGGCGGCAUGCCUAGCACAUGCAAGUCGAACGAGACCUUCGGGUCUAGUGGCGCACGGGUGCGUAACGCGUGGGAACCUGCCCUUAGGUUCGGAAUAACUCCCCGAAAGGGGUGCUAAUACCGGAUAAUGUCUUCGGACCAAAGAUUUAUCGCCUUUGGAUGGGCCCGCGUUGGAUUAGCUAGUUGGUAGGGUAAAAGCCUACCAAGGCGACGAUCCAUAGCUGGUCUGAGAGGAUGAUCAGCCACACUGGGACUGAGACACGGCCCAGACUCCCACGGGAGGCAGCAGUGGGGAAUAUUGGACAAUGGGCGAAAGCCUGAUCCAGCAAUGCCGCGUGAGUGAUGAAGGCCUUAGGGUUGUAAAGCUCUUUUACCCGGGAUGAUAAUGACAGUACCGGGAGAAUAAGCUCCGGCUAACUCCGUG